GAUCCUGGCUCAGGAUGAACGCUAGCUACAGGCUUAACACAUGCAAGUCGAGGGGCAGCAUAAACUUAGCUUGCUAAGUUUGAUGGCGACCGGCGCACGGGUGAGUAACACGUAUCCAACCUUCCGUUUACUCAGGGAUAGCCUUUCGAAAGAAAGAUUAAUACCUGAUAGUAUGGUGAGAUUGCAUGAUAGCACCAUUAAAGAUUUAUUGGUAAACGAUGGGGAUGCGUUCCAUUAGGUAG
rnacentral:rRNA from 1 species